CCUACGGGUGGCUGCAGUGGGGAAUAUUGGACAAUGGGCGAAAGCCUGAUCCAGCCAUGCCGCGUGUGUGAAGAAGGCCUUCGGGUUGUAAAGCACUUUCAGUGGGGAAGAAAGCCUUGGGGCUAAUACCCUCGAGGAAGGACAUCACCCACAGAAGAAGCACCGGCUAACUCCGUGCCAGCAGCCGCGGUAAUACGGAGGGUGCGAGCGUUAAUCGGAAUUACUGGGCGUAAAGCGCGCGUAGGCGGUCUGAUAAGCCGGUUGUGAAAGCCCCGGGCUCAACCUGGGAACGGCAUCCGGAACUGUCAGGCUAGGGUGCAGGAGAGGAAGGUAGAAUUCCCGGUGUAGCGGUGAAAUGCGUAGAGAUCGGGAGGAAUACCAGUGGCGAAGGCGGCCUUCUGGACUGACACUGACGCUGAGGUGCGAAAGCGUGGGUAGCAAUCAGGAUUAGAUACCCCAGUAGUC
rnacentral:rRNA from 1 species